rnacentral:rRNA from 1 species
AUACGGAGGGUGCAAGCGUUACUCGGAAUCACUGGGCGUAAAGCGCGCGCAGGCGGGCUGAUAAGUUGGAUGUGAAAGCCUACGGCUCAACCGUAGAACUGCAUCCAAAACUGUCAGUCUAGAGUCUGGGAGGGGAAGAUGGAAUUAGUUGUGUAGGGGUAAAAUCCGUAGAGAUAACUAGGAAUAACAAAAGCGAAGGCGAUCUUCUGGAACAGUACUGACGCUGAGGCGCGAAAGCGUGGGGAGCAAACAGGAUUAGAAACCCUAGUAGUCC